rfam:Marssonina brunnea f. sp. &apos;multigermtubi&apos; MB_m1 unplaced genomic scaffold M6_S00053, whole genome shotgun sequence.
UUAGCUCUCUUUGCCUAUUGGCUUAGAUCAAGUGUAGUAUCUGUUCUUUUCAGUUUAAUCUCUGAAAGAUGUCUAAGGACAUCACAUUGAUUAUACUUAUUUUUGUCCCUCGGGGGAUCGCCUCUGGGCUUGCCUAUGCUUUCUCCCACUGUGUCACUGGUAUUACACUGCCUCCAGUUGACGCGACACCUC